rnacentral:rRNA from 1 species
UACGAAGGGGGCUAGCGUUGUUCGGAAUUACUGGGCGUAAAGCGCGCGCAGGCGGUUUCUCAAGUCAGUGGUGAAAGCCCGGAGCUCAACUCCGGAACUGCCAUUGAAACUGUGAGACUUGAGGACGAGAGAGGUGAGUGGAAUUCCCAGUGUAGAGGUGAAAUUCGUAGAUAUUGGGAAGAACACCGGUGGCGAAGGCGGCUCACUGGCUCGUUUCUGACGCUCAGGCGCGACAGCGUGGGUAGCAAACAGG